GGUGGUGUAAAGGACCACCAAGCCUACGACGGGUACGGGCCCUGAGAGGGGGAGCCCGGAGAUGGACUCUGAGACACGAGUCCAGGCCCUACGGGGCGCAGCAGGCGCGAAACCUUCGCAAUGCGCGAAAGCGCGACGAGGGGAGCCCGAGUGCCCUUCCUUUUGGGAGGGCUUUUCCGGAGUCUAAAAAGCUCCGGGAAUAAGGGCUGGGCAAGACGGGUGCCAGCCGCCGCGGUAAUACCCGCAGCUCGAGUGGUGGCCACUAUUAUUGAGCCUAAAGCGUCCGUAGCCGGACCCGUAAAUCCCUGGGUAAAUCCUGGCGCUCAAUGUCAGGAAUUCCGGGGAGACUGCGGGUCUUGGGACCGGGAGAGGCCGGAGGUACUCCCGGGGUAGGGGUAAAAUCCUGUAAUCCCGGGGGGACCACCUGUGGCGAAAGCGUCCGGCUUGAACGGCUCCGACGGUGAGGGACGAAGGCCAGGGGAGCAAACCGGAUUAGAUACCCGGGUAGUCCUGGCUGUAAACGAUGCGCGCUUGGCGUCGGCACUGCCUCGAGUGCUGCCGGUGUCGAAGGGAAGGCGUUAAGCCCGCCGCCUGGGGGAGUACGGGCGCAAGCCUGAAACUUAAGGAAAUGGCGGGAGAGCACUGCAACGGGAGGAGCGUGCGGUUUAAUUGGAUUCAACGCCGGAAACCUUA
rnacentral:rRNA from 1 species